ACACAUACAAACACAGAUUCACACAAUGCAUCCCUUACACACACACACUACAUCCCUUACACAAACUAGUAUCCCUAUACACUACAUUCCAUAAGAACACACACAUUACAUCCUCUACAAUAACACAUAACACAUCCCCUACACACAUACACUCCACUCCCUGUGAGCAAACUCAUGGGUGGGCCUUGUAGGCAUACUCACGGUCAGGCCCAGAGUUGCUUCCUGUUCAUUGAUGUUUG